CCUGAUCAUGCUUGUAAGUCUCUCUGGAUAAGAGCGUCUGCUAAAUUACUAACA
rfam:Salmo salar isolate Sally breed double haploid chromosome ssa16, whole genome shotgun sequence.